rnacentral:rRNA from 1 species
GAUGAACGCUAGCGACAGGCUUAACACAUGCAAGUCGAGGGGUAGCAGGGCCUAGCAAUAGGUUGCUGACGACCGGCGCACGGGUGAGUAACACGUGGAUGAUCUACCCAUCAGUUCGGGAUAACAGUUGGAAACGACUGCUAAUACCGGAUACGAUCUUUAUUUCGCAUUAAGGUGAAAGGCGGCCUCUGCUUGCAUGCUGUCGCUGAUGGAUGAGUCCGCGCCUCAUUAGGUAGUUGGUAGGGUAACGGCCUACCAAGCCAACGAUGAGUAGCCGGCCUGAGAGGGUAAUCGGCCACACUGGGACUGGAACACGGCCCAGACUCCUACGGGAGGCAGCAGUGGGGAAUAUUGCGCAAUGGGCGAAAGCCUGACGCAGCGACGCCGCGUGAGGGAUGAAGGCCUUCGGGUCGUAAACCUCUGUCAGGAGGGAAGAAGUGCAUUCGUGCUAAUCAGCGAAUGUUUGACGGUACCUCCAAAGGAAGCACCGGCUAACUCCGUGCCAGCAGCCGCAGUAAAAC